rnacentral:misc_RNA from 1 species
UGUGUUGCUUACCUACGAGAAGGAAUUCGAUCGUAUUGUUGCCCCUUUCCGCCCGACGCCCUCUGUGGGUGUGGGGUGGACGCAAGGCACGCUACGUGUUCCUCGCAUGCCUUGCAUUUCUGCGUGGCUGCUGAGGCCCACGGAGCUGUUGCCCGUUCUCUCGGAUGCGGAACGCCAUGCGUGGGUGCAAGGCCUCGGCCUCUGCUGACCCAAGCAACGCAUUUGUCCCUUGACACGAACGACUGCCGCGGUCGCCUUGAGCCCCUCGUAGCCUGCGUGCUCGAUGGUGCUCAUGCGGCCGUCGGCGUCGUCGAGGAAUGCUACCUGGUUGAUCCUGCCAGUAGUCAU